rnacentral:rRNA from 1 species
UGGGGAAUAUUGCACAAUGGGCGCAAGCCUGAUGCAGCAACGCCGCGUGAGGGACGACGGCCUUCGGGUUGUAAACCUCUUUUGGCAGGGAAGAAGCGAAAGUGACGGUACCUGCAGAAAAAGCACCGGCUAACUACGUGCCAGCAGCCGCGGUGAUACGUAGGGUGCAAGCGUUGUCCGGAAUUAUUGGGCGUAAAGAGCUCGUAGGCGGUUUGUCGCGUCUGCUGUGAAAACCCGAGGCUCAACCUCGGGCCUGCAGUGGGUACGGGCAAACUAGAGUGCGGUAGGGGAGAUUGGAAUUCCUGGUGUAGCGGUGGAAUGCGCAGAUAUCAGGAGGAACACCGAUGGCGAAGGCAGAUCUCUGGGCCGUAACUGACGCUGAGGAGCGAAAGCAUGGGG